UUCCUGGUGGCUCAGACAGUGAGGAAUCUGCCUGCAAUGCAGGAGACCCAGGUUCAACCUCUGGUCAGGAAG
rnacentral:tRNA from 1 species